CUAACUUUAGAGGCCCGUCUAUCCGCAAUAGACUCCUUAACGCUCGCCCUCUACACAAAUAUUGCGUCUGACGCAACUAGUGCAGGUGGAAAAACAACAACUGCAAGUCGAUUUGUCACUCAACAACCAUCCCUACCCGCUGCAUCGAGAACUGCACAGUAAGCAAGUGGAUUUAGAGAGCACUUA